GUGCCCUUUUAGAGCUGACAGAAUGCUUUAAGAGGCUAGCACAGAAGGGGAAAGUAAGUUUGCAUCAAACCCAGAGAAGAGGUUGUCAGCUCAUCUUUGAAUCCUGUCUGGAGUCACAGCU
rnacentral:snoRNA from 14 species